rnacentral:lncRNA from 1 species
GUGGUAAGGGAAUACAUCUACUUAGGGCAGGUAGUGACGGCGGAUCCGGAUCAUGAGACGGAAAUAAUCAGAAGAAUAAGAAUGGGCUGGGGUGCGUUUGGCAGGCAUUCUCAGAUCAUGAACAGCAGGUUGCCAUUAUCCCUCAAGAGAAAAGUGUAUAAUAGCUGUGUCUUACCAGUACUCACCUACGGGGCAGAAACCUGGAGGCUCACGAAAAGGGUUCUACUCAAAUUGAGGGCGACGCAAUGAGCUAUGGAAAGAAGAAUGAUGGGUGUAACGUUAAGGGAUAAGAAAAGAGCAGAUUGGGUGCGGGAACAAACGAGUUAAUGACAUCUUAGUUGAAAUCAAGAAAAAGAAAUGGGCAUGGGCAGGACAUGUAAUGAGGAGGGAAGAUAACCGAUGGUCAUUAAGGGUUACGGACUGGAUUCCAAGGGAAGGGAAGCGUAGCAGGGGGCGGCAGAAAGUUAGGUGGGCGGAUGAGGUUAAGAAGUUUGCAGGGACGACAUGGCCACAAUUAGUACAUGCCCGAGGUUGUUGGAGAAGUAUGGGAGAGGCCUUUGCCCUGCAGUGGGCGUAACCAGGCUGAUGAUGAUGAUGAUGAUGAAUAAAUAUACGCAGUAACUGUAGGAAGAAGUGCGACCCGCUGUGGUUGCUUAAUGGCUAUGGUGUUGGGCUGCUAAGCACAAGGUCGUAGGAUUAAAUCCCAGCCACAACAACCACAUUUCGAUGGAGGCGAAAUGCGAACAACUUUGUACUUGGAUUUGGGUGCAUGUUAAAGAACUCCAGCUGCUCAAAAUUUCCUGAGCCCCCCACUACGGCGUGCCUCUUAAUCAGAUUGUGAUUUUGGCACAUAAAACCCUAUAAUUUAAUUUUGAGAAGAGCACUGAUCUAAAUACCCUUCUUAAUUGAUGUCAGCUAUUGGCCAAUAGCAGCCAUGAAUUUGAAUCUGCUAUAUGAUGAUAUAUAGCUACCCGAAAAGAGCAAGAAGAAUUCAGUUGAAAAGAGAGUGUUUGAGAAAAAGGUGACUUUGCACUCCGCUUGCAAAGUCUACGCUCCGUGCAUGACAGCAAAAUUUGUGGGAUAUGUUCACAGCAGCAUAUGCUAUCAGCAGAUUGUGUUUUUCCACCAAGCCCAAGGGGUGGUUCAGAACCCCUUUAAUUGCCCUAAUAAAGAUAAACCUCAACAUAAUGCACACUGAUGUAAUGAAUUAUCAGAUACAAUGAAUUGUUGGAUAUAACAAAGUAAAUGUAAAAUUUCGUUUGCCUUGCUUUAUUUGUGUCAGUUCAUGUUCUGCUGCUUUAAAGAAACCAAAAGGGAAGCCAAAUUGCUAUAUCUUGCAAUAAAGCUUUAUUUUUUUAUUUUUGUGUGCACCUUUUUAAAUAUAUUAGGCUAGUAGCAAAAAAUUCAAAAUUCUGAAAAGCAAAUCGUAUGUGGGUAUGUGUGAGUCACUCAACACAAGAAAAUAGGUGUUCUGCAUGCUUGCACUUUACAUACAAACAUCUUGCUAGGCUUGAGCAAAGUUCAAGACGUGGUCCUUUGUCACACAGGAGGUGCUACUCGUGGGUGGAAACAAUUGCCAGCACCAACAUUUGUGAGCGUUUUCCUAAUAGAUAUAUUGCAUACAAUGGGCAAAAUCUCGCUUUGAUUGCAACAUCAUUGCAUUGAGGUUAGACUGUACUAUAUUCUAGAACACCAUGGUACUUUGAACCUGUAGCUGUUACUCAUAUUGUCAUGUUCUACAUGAAUGCACGCCAUGACUGAGUGCCUUCUCGUGUCAGCCACAAUCUACAAGUUAGAAGAAGAAAACAGUUUUGUUCAAUUACCAUUUUGAUGAUAGCAUUGCACAUAAAUAGAUUCCUGUAUAUUUUAUUGUAUUUAUAACGCCAAAUUAUUUUCUUGCAUAACACCAUAUGUAUAUAGGAUCUGGCACCAGAUUUGCACCAUUUUCAGAAAGUAGCACUUUUGAAAGGCUGGCUGUAGAAAGUAUUGAGCUAUGCAGGUGUUCACUGCUUGUUUUAAGACACACAUUUGGCAUGUUUGUUUUGUGUGUGUGUGUGUGUGUGUGUGUGUGGCAUGGGUGAAAAACAUGAAUUCCUUGCAUGCUGCUAAAUGGGCAUUAGUAACAAAACUUUCAUCCCAGGCUCGGCACUUAGAAUUGUACCAUAUAUUUGUUCGGAAUAACGACAAAAUACCAAUUUAGGGCUUUUUCUUUGUGUUGUAGAAGAAUUACAGUGGGCUACUGCGUAAAGAAUUGGAGCUAAACCUGAGGGAAGCUAAGAAAUAUGAGGUCAAAGGAUUUCAAGUCCUGCUUGUCUUGAUUUUGCAUCUUAUUUGUAGCAUGGGCUUCGUUUAUCUUUUUUGUCAUGUGCAUGCCAAACAGUGUCCAUGUGAGCAUGUGCUUUUUCUGCUGUACUGAGAACACAAUUUAGAAGUUUUAAUCUUCUAUGCUAUGCCAGCAGGCACCUGAAGUUAGUAACUUUAUGGAGACCCUCUGGUGUUAUGGUGUACCUGGUAUAGCUUGGUGCUGACCAUGGGACGAAGUGUUUCAGUAGCAGCAGUGAAGUACAGAAGUGGCCAUGUGCCAAGACCCCUGUGCAUGGAAGUUCAGUAGGUCAUGUAAAUUUAUUACGAGGAACGUUUCACUGUUCGUUCUUGUUUUCAACCUCUCUGUCAAUUUCACUCGCAAAGCCCUGCGCAUGGUUUAAUUUAGAGAGAUGGUUUUUCUGUUUCUUUCUUUCUUAUUUCUGGUUUUAUUAGUUCCCCGAGCACAUCCUUCUAGCAAACGUGUUAGCCACCGACGACCUGUAACAUUGCCUUUGCCUUGCGCGAUUCAACAUGUUGAAGUUGCAUUAAAUUUGCGCAGACACAUUGGUUGCAUUGUUGGAGAAACAGAGCUAUUUUGCUGCAGUGUAUUUUCUGUGUCUCAUCAUGGCAGGACAUCAAAUUGCAUUUGUGCAGACUGGUUUUUUACUCAUAAUAAAUUAUAUAUAUUGUAUGCUUCAA